GGUCGUAUAGCGCAGUGGUAGCGCGCUGCUUUCACAGAGCAGAUGUCCUUGGUUCAAAUCCAAGUACGACCA
rnacentral:tRNA from 10 species